GGUGGCGACGCGCAGGCCGUUGUCGAGCGUGGUGACCUUGGUCUCCGGCGCGUCGAGGAUGGCCGUGUGGUCGACGUGCGCGGGCACGGGGCUGGCGUAGCGGAGGAAGCGGGGGUCCGGGUGCUCGAGGCGGCGGACGCGCGCGUUGACGGCCUCGGCGAUCCGGUCGUACGGCAUCAUGGGGGCGCGGACGGCGGGCGCGUCGGGGGCGAUGGCGCCGGGGGCCGCGGCGACGGCCGUGGAGGCCUCGCGCGCGUUCCCGGCCGCAGCGGCCGCCGCGGCGGAGCGGCGGCGCACUGCGGCCGAGAGGAGUCGGCGGAACGCCAUCGGGGAGAUCUGGUGGACGGCCUCUCCGGCGGCGGAGGAGGUGGAGAUCUGGCUUUGCCUAGGGUUUGUUGCAGUCGGAUGGAUCGGGCAAGGAGGAAGAGAUGGG
rnacentral:lncRNA from 1 species